rnacentral:rRNA from 1 species
CUGAUGCAGCAACGCCGCGUGAGUGAUGAAGGCCUUCGGGUCGUAAAGCUCUGUCCUCAAGGAAGAUAAUGACGGUACUUGAGGAGGAAGCCCCGGCUAACUACGUGCCAGCAGCCGCGGUAAU